AGCGAACGCUGGCGGCAGGCCUAACACAUGCAGGUCGAACGGGUUCCUUCAGGGACCAGUGGCAGACGGGUGAGUAACACGUGGGAACGUACCCUUCAGUUCGGAACAACCCAGGGGAACUUGGGCUAAUACCGGAUACGCCCUUCGGGGGAAAGAUUUAUCGCUGAAGGAUCGGCCCGCGUCUGAUUAGCUAGUUGGUGAGGUAACGGCUCACCAAGGCGACGAUCAGUAGCUGGUCUGAGAGGAUGAUCAGCCACACUGGGACUGAGACACGGCCCAGACUCCUACGGGAGGCAGCAGUGGGGAAUAUUGGACAAUGGGCGAAAGCCUGAUCCAGCCAUGCCGCGUGAGUGAUGAAGGCCCUAGGGUUGUAAAGCUCUUUCGGCGGGGACGAUAAUGACGGUACCCGCAGAAGAAGCCCCGGCUAACUUCGUGCCAGCAGCCGCGGUAACAC
rnacentral:rRNA from 1 species